AAAAAGCUUCCGUGGGUGAACCUGCGGAAGGAUCAUUGCCGUUUGCACCGCUGAGGUUUCCGCUUGCUUGACCUCCUGGGCACGGAUACGUUCAACUAUCUUCCAUCGGAAUAUGAACUGCGAACUCUAACGGUGGGCAGACUACCUCGGGAGCCUGGCCUGCCCGCCCCGGUGGCUAGGCAGGCAUCUAUGUAGUGAGUCUCAAGAAUCGCGCGUUCAGCCAGUGUAAGACCGGGUCGUCCCACACGAGUGAAGGAGCCUGAUCCGCGCCUACCUCCGCCAGCUUCUGCAUCGGUACAGUAGCAGUGGUGAGCCGGCUUCGUGCCAGGCGAUUGAUCCCUGGCGUGAUGCGGGUGUCGGACAUAUACGACGCUGAUCGUCGGGUGACCAGCCAGCGUGACUUGUCGAUCGGAGAGAUCCCAAGUCUCCUGCCGCACUUCGCAAACAUCGUGCCAUCCAAGCGCCGCUACCCUGCCAGGCACUCGGCGAGGUCGGAUCAGCUGGCAGUGUCGUGCAAGCUAUACACGGAUGCGUUGCUGCAGGGUGAUACGCUAGUGCUUCCGUGUCAGUUUACACCACUCGAUCCUAAAACCUCGAAACCUAAGCCUCCAGCGCGGGUCGGUGGUCUUGCCCCGGUCACCCUCCGUGCACCUCCGGGUACCCAACACGUCUCUCCCCUCCGGGGUCAGGAGGGGGGUUUAAUGUCUCCUACCCCUGUUUGUUCCACGCGCCUCACGGGAGGGACGCCAGGGUGCUUGUCCGUCUAACCCUGUAAAACCCUUACUCGUCGCUAAGUGCGCAGUCCCACCGUAGCUGUAAACCUUAAGAGCUUGACAACUCUUACUGGUAAAUCACUCGGCUCAUGCAUCGAUGAAGAACGCAGCAAGCUGCGAGAACUCAUGUGAAUUGCAGGACACAUUGAUCAUCGAAACUUCGAACGCACCUUGCGGCCCCGGGUUACUCCCGGGGCUACGGCUGUCUGAGGGUCGCUUUGACAUCAAUCGGAAAGGCCGUUCUACCUCGUGCCUUCUCGCGGGUGUGGCCGACGCUGGCAUCCGUUGCUCUUCCCACUAAGCGCAGACGGCUGAGGAGUCUCUCGCCACCUCGGUUGCGGUUGCGGCGAGGUCUCGGGCCAGCCGCCCGACCGUUGUACCAGUAGGCUCCGGUUCUCCUGCUCCUCUCUUCCUCAUGCUCCCGUGGAACCAAGAUCCCCUGGGAGAAGGGUCGCCCGGACGGGCACCGCAUGACUCGGGAGCGGCUGUCGGUGGACAGACCAUGUCUCUCCGCGCUGACCGUGUUACGUGUGGACCCGGUUCUGACGGGAACGCUGCGGCUGUGAGUACGAGGUUCGGGGGUCGUCCUCGGUGUUUGGGAGGUCGCGGCGCAGGGGACACCCACCGGAUCGUCGCGGCGCACUCCGCCUCCGGAGGCGUUACGACCCCCCCAGGCUAUCCCGGAACGCCUGAGCCCCCCCUUCAACUCGUGGGACGGGGG
rnacentral:rRNA from 1 species